UGAUAGUGACUUUUUCCUGUUGACUUCUGUGUGGCCGAGUCAAACCAAAAUAUACAGGACUUCACUUUUUCACAGAAGUGUGAAUCUGUUUGCAUCAGCAGAACUGUUCCUGGUUUACAAGAGGAAAAGUGAGAAUCUGGCAGGAGAAUCAACCAGAAAAGAUGUCUAGAAGUACAACAAACAUCUGACAUAUUGAAGGGAAAGAGAAGAGAAUGCAAAGAAAUCCAUGACUAUGUCUCUGAGUGAAUAAUCAGACUAUGAGUUUCUUUGAGGAAACUGAAAAUGAGGAAAUGUCAUCACAGUUUACUUCUUGGGCCAGGAACCCUACAGAUCUCCUCUACUGGAAAACAUGAACUCUUCGGUGAUAGAUGGACCCCUGAAGCCCUGGCAAUGCCAGGCAGCUGUGCCAAAUCAAUGAUCAAACUUGAGCAGGGGCAGGAGCAAUGCAACUGCACAGGGCACCUAUUUCACAGAGCAGGUGAAAGAGCAGAAGAAAGUCAAAUCUAGCAGAGAUUUCAAAGAGGAUGAAGAAUUGAUUCUGUCCACUGUGGAUGCAAACCUA
rnacentral:lncRNA from 1 species